rnacentral:rRNA from 1 species
CCUACGGGUGGCAGCAGUGGGGAAUAUUGCACAAUGGGCGCAAGCCUGAUGCAGCCAUGCCGCGUGUGUGAAGAAGGCCUUCGGGUUGUAAAGCACUUUCAGCGGGGAGGAAGGCGUUAAGGUUAGUAACCUUGGCGAUUGACGUUACCCGCAGAAGAAGCACCGGCUAACUCCGUGCCAGCAGCCGCGGUAAUACGGAGGGUGCAAGCGUUAAUCGGAAUUACUGGGCGUAAAGCGCACGCAGGCGGUCUGUCAAGUCGGAUGUGAAAUCCCCGGGCUCAACCUGGGAACUGCAUUCGAAACUGGCAGGCUAGAGUCUUGUAGAGGGGGGUAGAAUUCCAGGUGUAGCGGUGAAAUGCGUAGAGAUCUGGAGGAAUACCGGUGGCGAAGGCGGCCCCCUGGACAAAGACUGACGCUCAGGUGCGAAAGCGUGGGGAGCAAACAGGAUUAGAUACCCGUGUAGUC